GUCCACGCCCUAAACGAUGUCUACUUGCUGUUGGGGGGUAACACCUUGGUAGCGAAGCUAACGUGAGAAGUAGACCGCCUGGGGAGUACGGUCGCAAGAUUAAAACUCAAAGGAAUUGACGGGGACCCGCACAAGCGGUGGAUGAUGUGGAUUAAUUCGAUGCAACGCGAAGAACCUUACCUGCUCUUGACAUGCCCAGAAGAUUUCAGAGAUGAGAUUGUGCCGCAAGGAACUGGGACACAGGUGCUGCAUGGCUGUCGU
rnacentral:rRNA from 1 species